GGGGGCUUAGCUCAGCUGGGAGAGCGCCUGGGGCUUUGCACGCAGGAGGUCAGCGGUUCGAUCCCGCUAGUCUCCACCA
rnacentral:tRNA from 1 species